rnacentral:rRNA from 1 species
UGAAUACGAGACGCUAAGGCGUCGAAGUAGUGUAUGUCAUACUUCCAAGAAAAGCUUGCACUGUCAUAGAUAAAAAACGCCUGUACCAUAACCGACACAGGUGGGUAGGUAGAGUAUACUAAGGGGCGCGAGAUAACUCUCUCUAGGAACUCGGCAAAAUAACUCCGUCACUUCGGGAGAAGGAGUGCCUUAUUCGUAAGGUUGCAAUAACAAGAUCCAAGCAACUGUUUAUCAAAAACACAGGUCUCCGCUAAGUCGUAAGACGAUGUAUGGGGGCUGACGCCUGCCCAGUGCCAGAAGGUUAAAGAAGUUGGUUAGCAAUUGCGAAGCUGAUAACUGAAGCCCUGGUGAACGGCGGCCGUAACUAUAACGGUCCUAAGGUAGCGAAAUUCCUUGUCGGGUAAGUUCCGACCCGCACGAAAGGCGUAAUGAUUUGGAUACUGUCUCGGAGAGGGGCUCGGUGAAAUAGACUUGUCUGUGAAGAUGCGGACUACCUGCACCAGGACAGAAAGACCCUAUGAAGCUUUACUGUAACUUGAAAUUGAAAUUGGACUUUAUUCGCGCAGUAUAGGUGGGAGGCGUUGAUUAUAAUCUUGUGGGAUUAUUGGAGACAUCAGUGAGAUACCACUCUUGUAAUGUUAGAUUUCUAACUUUGAAUCAUUAUCUGGUCAAAGAACAGUUUCAGGCGGGCAGUCUGACUGGGGCGGUCGCCUCCUAAACGGUAACGGAGGCGUACAAAGGUUUCCUCUGAACGGUUAGAAAUCGUAUCUAGAGUGUAAAGGCAUAAGGAAGCUUGACUGUGAGACCUACAAGUCGAGCAGGGACGAAAGUCGGUCUUAGUGAUCUGACGGUACUGAGUGGAAAGGCCGUCACUCAACGGAUAAAAGUUACUCUAGGAUAACAGGCUGAUCUCCCCCAAGAGUUCACAUCGACGGGGAGGUUUGGCACCUCGAUGUCGGCUCAUCGCAUCCUGGGGCGGUAGUACGUCCCAAGGGUUGGGCUGUUCGCCCAUGAAAGCGGUACGCGAGCUGGGUUCAGAACGUCGUGAGACAGUUCGGUCCAUAUCCGGUGUAGGCGUUAGAAUAUUGAGAGGAGCCUUCUUUAGUACGAGAGGACCGAGAAGGACAUACCUCUGGUGUACCAGUUAUCGUGCCAACGGUAAACGCUGGGUAGCUAUGUAUGGAGUGGAUAACCGCUGAAAGCAUCUAAGUGGGAAGCCCACCUCAAGAUAAGUAUUCUCAU